rnacentral:lncRNA from 1 species
AAGAAAUGCAACCCUCUGUGAUAUAGCAAGGAGACAGGGAGUGGGGAAGUCAGAAAGGAAAGUCUGCUGCUGCUGAAGUAUUGCAGGAAGAGAAGAGACUGCAUUAUGGCAAAACUUGGCUCUACCACGGGCAGCUGAAGAGAUUAUUACCUUGUACAAUUGCUGAAAACCCAACAAUGUAACAUCCAGUGUGAUUCAGAGUCAUGGGAAAGGAUUUCGAGAGAAGAAACCUCCUGUGGUAAAGUGGCCUGAGUCAAAACGGCACAUCCAGUCAAACUGGCAGCUG